CAGAGUGUUUGGGUUUUUAUAUGUGGGUAAC
rnacentral:misc_RNA from 1 species